AGUAUUUUAGUAUAAGUAAUAUAACCAUUUUUGGGGUGGGAGAUUUAAUACUG
rnacentral:tRNA from 1 species